rnacentral:rRNA from 1 species
GGGUUGUGAGGUUAAGCGACUAAGCGUACACGGUGGAUGCCCUGGCAGUCAGAGGCGAUGAAGGACGUGCUAAUCUGCGAUAAGCGUCGGUAAGGUGAUAUGAACCGUUAUAACCGGCGAUUUCCGAAUGGGGAAACCCAGUGUGAUUCGUCACACUAUCAUUAACUGAAUCCAUAGGUUAAUGAGGCGAACCGGGGGAACUGAAACAUCUAAGUACCCCGAGGAAAAGAAAUCAACCGAGAUUCCCCCAGUAGCGGCGAGCGAACGGGGAGCAGCCCAGAGCCUGAAUCAGUGUGUGUGUUAGUGGAAGCGUCUGGAAAGGCGCGCGAUACAGGGUGACAGCCCCGUACACAAAAAUGCACAUACUGUGAGCUCGAUGAGUAGGGCGGGACACGUGGUAUCCUGUCUGAAUAUGGGGGGACCAUCCUCCAAGGCUAAAUACUCCUGACUGACCGAUAGUGAACCAGUACCGUGAGGGAAAGGCGAAAAGAACCCCGGCGAGGGGAGUGAAAAAGAACCUGAAACCGUGUACGUACAAGCAGUGGGAGCACAGAGCAAUCUGUGUGACUGCGUACCUUUUGUAUAAUGGGUCAGCGACUUAUAUUCUGUAGCAAGGUUAACCGAAUAGGGGAGCCGAAGGGAAACCGAGUCUUAACUGGGCGUUAAGUUGCAGGGUAUAGACCCGAAACCCGGUGAUCUAGCCAUGGGCAGGUUGAAGGUUGGGUAACACUAACUGGAGGACCGAACCGACUAAUGUUGAAAAAUUAGCGGAUGACUUGUGGCUGGGGGUGAAAGGCCAAUCAAACCGGGAGAUAGCUGGUUCUCCCCGAAAGCUAUUUAGGUAGCGCCUCGUGAAUUCAUCUCCGGGGGUAGAGCACUGUUUCGGCAAGGGGGUCAUCCCGACUUACCAACCCGAUGCAAACUACGAAUACCGGAGAAUGUUAUCACGGGAGACACACGGCGGGUGCUAACGUCCGUCGUGAAGAGGGAAACAACCCAGACCGCCAGCUAAGGUCCCAAAGUCAUGGUUAAGUGGGAAACGAUGUGGGAAGGCCCAGACAGCCAGGAUGUUGGCUUAGAAGCAGCCAUCAUUUAAAGAAAGCGUAAUAGCUCACUGGUCGAGUCGGCCUGCGCGGAAGAUGUAACGGGGCUAAACCAUGCACCGAAGCUGCGGCAGCGACGCUGAUGCGUUGUUGGGUAGGGGAGCGUUCUGUAAGCCUGCGAAGGUGUGCUGUGAGGCAUGCUGGAGGUAUCAGAAGUGCGAAUGCUGACAUAAGUAACGAUAAAGCGGGUGAAAAGCCCGCUCGCCGGAAGACCAAGGGUUCCUGUCCAACGUUAAUCGGGGCAGGGUGAGUCGACCCCUAAGGCGAGGCCGAAAGGCGUAGUCGAUGGGAAACAGGUUAAUAUUCCUGUACUUGGUGUUACUGCGAAGGGGGGACGGAGAAGGCUAUGUUGGCCGGGCGACGGUUGUCCCGGUUUAAGCGUGUAGGCUGGUUUUCCAGGCAAAUCCGGAAAAUCAAGGCUGAGGCGUGAUGACGAGGCACUACGGUGCUGAAGCAACAAAUGCCCUGCUUCCAGGAAAAGCCUCUAAGCAUCAGGUAACAUCAAAUCGUACCCCAAACCGACACAGGUGGUCAGGUAGAGAAUACCAAGGCGCUUGAGAGAACUCGGGUGAAGGAACUAGGCAAAAUGGUGCCGUAACUUCGGGAGAAGGCACGCUGAUAUGUAGGUGAAGUCCCUCGCGGAUGGAGCUGAAAUCAGUCGAAGAUACCAGCUGGCUGCAACUGUUUAUUAAAAACACAGCACUGUGCAAACACGAAAGUGGACGUAUACGGUGUGACGCCUGCCCGGUGCCGGAAGGUUAAUUGAUGGGGUUAGCGCAAGCGAAGCUCUUGAUCGAAGCCCCGGUAAACGGCGGCCGUAACUAUAACGGUCCUAAGGUAGCGAAAUUCCUUGUCGGGUAAGUUCCGACCUGCACGAAUGGCGUAAUGAUGGCCAGGCUGUCUCCACCCGAGACUCAGUGAAAUUGAACUCGCUGUGAAGAUGCAGUGUACCCGCGGCAAGACGGAAAGACCCCGUGAACCUUUACUAUAGCUUGACACUGAACAUUGAGCCUUGAUGUGUAGGAUAGGUGGGAGGCUUUGAAGUGUGGACGCCAGUCUGCAUGGAGCCGACCUUGAAAUACCACCCUUUAAUGUUUGAUGUUCUAACGUUGACCCGUAAUCCGGGUUGCGGACAGUGUCUGGUGGGUAGUUUGACUGGGGCGGUCUCCUCCUAAAGAGUAACGGAGGAGCACGAAGGUUGGCUAAUCCUGGUCGGACAUCAGGAGGUUAGUGCAAUGGCAUAAGCCAGCUUGACUGCGAGCGUGACGGCGCGAGCAGGUGCGAAAGCAGGUCAUAGUGAUCCGGUGGUUCUGAAUGGAAGGGCCAUCGCUCAACGGAUAAAAGGUACUCCGGGGAUAACAGGCUGAUACCGCCCAAGAGUUCAUAUCGACGGCGGUGUUUGGCACCUCGAUGUCGGCUCAUCACAUCCUGGGGCUGAAGUAGGUCCCAAGGGUAUGGCUGUUCGCCAUUUAAAGUGGUACGCGAGCUGGGUUUAGAACGUCGUGAGACAGUUCGGUCCCUAUCUGCCGUGGGCGCUGGAGAAUUGAGGGGGGCUGCUCCUAGUACGAGAGGACCGGAGUGGACGCAUCACUGGUGUUCGGGUUGUCAUGCCAAUGGCACUGCCCGGUAGCUAAAUGCGGAAGAGAUAAGUGCUGAAAGCAUCUAAGCACGAAACUUGCCCCGAGAUGAGUUCUCCCUGACUCCUUGAGAGUCCUGAAGGAACGUUGAAGACGACGACGUUGAUAGGCCGGGUGUGUAAGCGCAGCGAUGCGUUGAGCUAACCGGUACUAAUGAACCGUGAGGCUUAACCUUACAACGCCGAAGCUGUU